UACGGAGGGGGCGAGUGUUGUUCGGAAUUACUGGGCGUAAAGGGCGCGCAGGCGGCUUGGCAAGUCGAGUGUGAAAUCCCUUGGCUUAACUGAGGAAUGGCGCUCGAAACUACCUCGCUAGAGGGCGGGAGAGGGAAGUGGAACUCUCGGUGUAGGGGUGAAAUCUGUAGAUAUCGAGAGGAACACCGGUGGCGAAGGCGGCUUCCUGGCCCGUACCUGACGCUGAGGCGCGAAAGCGUGGGGAGCAAACAGGAUUAGAAACCCUCGUAGUCC
rnacentral:rRNA from 1 species